rnacentral:rRNA from 1 species
UACAGAGGGUGCGAGCGUUGUUCGGAAUUAUUGGGCGUAAAGCGCAUGUAGGCGGCUUCUCAAGUCGCGUGUGAAAGCCCUCGGCUCAACCGAGGAAGUGCGCGCGAAACUGGGGAGCUUGAGUGCCGGAGAGGAUCGCGGAAUUCCCGGUGUAGAGGUGAAAUUCGUAGAUAUCGGGAGGAACACCAGAGGCGAAGGCGGCGAUCUGGACGGACACUGACGCUGAGACGCGAAAGCGUGGGUAGCAAACAGG